GACGAACGCUGGCGGCGUGCCUAAUACAUGCAAGUUGAGCGCUCAAGGUUGGUACUUGUUCCAACUGGGUGAGCAGCGAACGGGUGAGUAACGCGUGGGUAAUCUGCCUUUGAGCGGGGGACAACUUUUGGAAACGAAUGCUAAUACCGCAUAAAAUCUUUAAACACAUGUUUUAAGUUUGAAAGAUGCAAUUGCAUUACUCAAAGAUGAUCCCGCGUUGUAUUAGCUAGUUGGUUAGGUAAAGGCUCACCAAGGCGAUGAUACAUAGCCGAACUGAGAAGGGGGUUGGCCAAAAUGGGAAUGAGAAAAGGCCCAAAACCCUAAGGGAGGCAGCAGGAGGGGAAUUUCGGGAAUGGAGGGAAGGCUGAACGAGGAAAGCCGGGGGAGGGAAGAAGGGUGUCGGAACGGAAAAACCUGGUGGUAGAGGAGAAAGAUAGGGGGAGUGGAAAGCGCAUGAAGUGACGGUAACUAACCAGAAAGGGACGGCUAACUACGUG
rnacentral:rRNA from 1 species